rnacentral:Y_RNA from 1 species
GGCUGGUCCGAAGGUACUGAGUUACCUCGAUUGUUCACAGUCAGUUAAAGAUCGAACUCCUUUUCUACUCUUUUCCCCCACUCACUCCUGCACUUGACUAGUCUUAA